GGCUGAAAUUCGCCUUCAUGAAGUCGGAAUUGCUAGUAAUGGCAGGUCAGCAUACUGCCGUGAAUACGUUCCCGGGCCCUUGUACACACCGCCCGUCACACCAUGAGAGUUGGAGAUACCCGAAGCCUGUGAGCUAACAGAAAUGGAGCAGCAGUCGAAGGUAGAAUCAAUGAUUGGGGUGAAGUCGUAACAAGGUAAC
rnacentral:rRNA from 1 species